rnacentral:misc_RNA from 1 species
AACGGUCUAUACCUGCGGUACCUGCGGAGGGAUCAUUACCGAGUUAUCAACUCCCAAACCCCUGUGAACAUACCCGAACGUUGCCUCGGCGGGACCGCCCCGGCGCCCCUAGCGGCCCGGAACCAGGCGCCCGCCGGAGGACCCAAACUCUUGCUUUAAACAGUGGCAUACUCUCUGAGUCUCACAAACAAAAAAUAAAUCGAAACUUUCAACAAUGGAUCUCUAGAUCGGAAGAGCACA